CAUAUUUAGUACUGUAAUACAGGAAGGCGAUGAUGAGGUUGUGAUUGCAAUGACAAAUUGCUGUAGAUGUGAAUAACAAAAUGUCGCCAUACAAGGAGUCGAUAAUAAUCCCUGUCCCUUGAGUAAUGCAGUUGUGGACAAGGCAUACUUUGAAUUCUUCAUUAGGCUUACUGAUGGAACUCCAAUUAGUUUCGAUGCUGAAUAGCGACGUGUAAUUCUAUGCUUACAAGCUGCAAUCGAAAGUUGAGCAUUUGAGAUAUAUCCAACCAAAACUGCGAACUUUUGAAGGGGCUCUACAUCUCCAUGGCAGUUGGCAAGGCCAAGGUUUAGAGGUACUCGCCAAGUUGAGCACUCUGUAAUAACAUGCCUUUGCCAUGUUCAAUUGUC